rnacentral:rRNA from 1 species
AGCUCCAAUAGCGUAUACUAAAGUUGUUGCGGUUAAAAAGCUCGUAGUUGGAUUUCUGUCAGUGAGUGGUGCUCCGCCCCUUGUGGUGAGUAGUCAUCAUGCCGCUGGCAUCUUCUUGGGGAGUGUAUCUGCACUUCACUGUGUGGUGCACAAGCCAGGACUCUUACUUUGAGGAAAUGAGAGUGUUUCAAGCAGGCGUGCGCCGUGAAUACGUUGGCAUGGAAUAAUAGCAUCGGACCUCGCUCCAAAGCUGUUGGUUUCUUGGGUCGAGGUAAAGGUGAAUAGGGAUUGUUGGGGGCAUUCGUAUUUAACUGUCAGAGGUGAAAUUUUUGGAUUUGUUGAAGACGGACUACUGCGAAAGCAUCUGCCAAAGAUGUUC